UACGGAGGGUGCGAGCGUUAAUCGGAAUUACUGGGCGUAAAGCGCGCGUAGGCGGUCUUGUAAGUCAGGUGUGAAAGCCCCGGGCUCAACCUGGGAACUGCAUUCGAGACUGCAGGACUGGAGUAUUGGAGAGGGCAGCGGAAUUUCCGGUGUAGCGGUGAAAUGCGUAGAUAUCGGAAGGAACACCAGUGGCGAAAGCGGCUGCCUGGCCAAAUACUGACGCUCAUGUGCGAAAGCGUGGGGAGCAAACAGG
rnacentral:rRNA from 1 species